UACGGAGGGUGCAAGCGUUGUUCGGAAUUAUUGGGCGUAAAGCGCGCGCAGGCGGUCUGGAAAGUCUAUGGGUGAAAUGCCGGGGCUCAACCCCGUGCAUGCCCAGGAUACUGUCAGACUGGAGACACGUAGAGGCAAGCGGAAUUUCGGGUGUAGCGGUGGAAUGCGUAGAUAUCCGAAAGAACACCGGAGGCGAAGGCGGCUUGCUGGGACGUGACUGACGCUGAGACGCGAAAGCGUGGGGAGCAAACAGG
rnacentral:rRNA from 1 species